UCUUUUUUCAAUCUGUUUUGUUAGUUUUUUUUUUUUUGGCGGGUAUUAUACGGUCGUGUCUUGUGUCCUUAUUUUUUUUUUUUAUGUUUUAAUUUGGAUUGUUGGGUUUGUUUGUUCGUGCGUAUUUUCAAUUGGGUAUGCUUUAGUAUUCUUAUACGCACGGCUUGGUUAGUUUGAUGGAAAUAUGAGAUUUUGCAUGGAAAUAUGUCUUCUUUGAUGCUGUGAGAUUCUUCCCCCUCCUUUUGUCUCCAAAAUUUGAAGCUUUUUCGUCUCAAUUUCAAAAUUUUUCCUUCUUUUAUCUCUCUCGCUCUCUCUUUUUCUCUCUCCUCCAGCUAUUUACAUUAUUCUUAAUUUGUUUCUACUCAAUUCUGCCUCGAGUAAUAGUCAGAUGAUAAAAGAAUAGUUAAGGAUGAAUCAAUUUGUGCAAUCAGCUUAGAUCUUUUCCCAGUUGAUAAUCUAAUAACCAGAAUUUAUUCUUUUGCUUACUGUAGGCCCGAGCAUUCUAUGCAUUUCAAAAGCAACACAUUUCUUUACUAUUACAUGUUUUAUUCAUUAAGAGAAAAGGAAAGAAAGGUUUAUUUCUUUUCCUUCUAUUUUCAGGUUGCCUUAGGUUAUCAAAGGAAGUAAAAUGUGGAAAACCCCUUUGAUUGGAUGGAAUUUAUAUCUUUGCAAGCGAAAGCAAAUUUCUUCGAGAGAAGAGUAGAGAUUAUCAGAAGGCAUCUGUUAUGUCGAGCCUUCAUCAUGGUGGAAAAAACUUUAAAAUGGAUGAAGACUUCUAGCCUGAUAUGAUGCAACUCCCUCCAGUAUCAAAGAUGUGCUUGAAGAAGGCAUCAAAAUUUUUCUAAUAUUCUUUAUGGUGACAUUUGUCUGUAGUCUACAACAUUUGCAAGCAAUCUCAAAGCAUCAAGGGUAUGAAAUGUGGAUCUGUCAUACUGCAAAUUUGUUUCCACAGCUAGAAAGAUGUUCCCUCGGGACCCCAUCAGGAGCUUCAUAAUCGAAGAUGCUUUGCUUAUCCGCCAUGACCAUCUUCAUUGCUUAUGGAAUUGAGUUGAGGCUGGUGGUAUGAUAAUGAUGAAACAAAUUAGUGCUCUCUUAUCAUAAGCAUUUAGUAUUGAGAAUCAUUAUUUUAUCAUAAUGACAUGUUUUGUCGUAUUCUAAGCUUGUGAUGGAUGAUAUUUCACUGAAUCAUCUACUCAUAUGCAUGGUCUGAGGAUCUUGGUCUUGUAUAUAAUAUGCUUUUAUGAGAUGUCAAUUUUUCCUCUU